rnacentral:lncRNA from 1 species
AUUCAUCGUGGAAACAAAUGCUAUGUUGAUGACAUGAUAGCAAAGUCCCAGGCAGAAGAGGGGCAUCUGGUGGAUCCGGGGCAAGUUGUUUGACCGGUUGAGACAACUCAGACUGAGGUUGAGUCCGAAUCAGUGCGCUUGUGGAGUGCUGUCUGGUAAGUCGCCGAGGCUUAUGGUGAGUGAAUAAGAGGAAUCGAGGUCGAUCCUGCUAAA